rnacentral:tRNA from 1 species
GGGCCGGUAGCUCAGCCUGGAAGAGCGCCGCCCUCGCAUAUAAUGCUACCGAGGUCGGGGGAGGCGGAGGUCCCGGGUUCAAAUCCCGGCCGGUCCA